CCUACGGGAGGCAGCAGUAGGGAAUCUUCCGCAAUGGACGAAAGUCUGACGGAGCGACGCCGCGUGAGUGAUGAAGGUCUUCGGAUCGUAAAACUCUGUUGUUAGGGAAGAAUAAGUAUAAGACGAAUAACCUUAUACCUUGACGGUACCUAACCAGAAAGCCCCGGCUAACUACGUGCCAGCAGCCGCGGUAAU
rnacentral:rRNA from 1 species